rnacentral:rRNA from 1 species
GUGGGGAAUCUUCCGCAAUGGACGAAAGUCUGACGGAGCGACGCCGCGUGAGUGAAGAAGGCCUUCGGGUCGUAAAGCUCUGUCAUCAGGGACGAAUGGCCGGUGGAGUGGAAAGCCACCGGAUUGACGGUACCUGAGAAGGAAGCCACGGCUAACUACGUGCCAGCAGCCGCGGUAAUACGUAGGUGGCAAGCGUUGUCCGGAAUUAUUGGGCGUAAAGCGCGCGCAGGUGGGAUCUUAAGUCCAUUUUGAAAGUUCGGAGCUCAACUCCGUGAUGGGAUGGAAACUGGGAUUCUUGAGUACCGGAGAGGAAAGCGGAAUUCCCCGUGUAGCGGUGAAAUGCGUAGAUAUGGGGAGGAACACCAGUGGCGAAGGCGGCUUUCUGGACGGUGUCUGACACUGAGGCGCGAAAGCCAGGGGAGCGAACGGGAUUAGAAACCCCGGUAGUCC